GCGUGUCUUACAUCAGAUUAGAGUAUACUAGCCAUCCCUUGAUUUAUACAUUGAUGAUUUUUUUUUAAGUAUCGACGUGCUAUUGUAAAAAUACUAAUGAUUCUCCAGCCAGCUGGAUGAAGUCAAUUUGUGGGGCACGAAAAUACUCUUCCUUUUCAUAAUGUAGAAAGGUAGUCAAUCUAUUCCAAGUAAAUUUCUGAUAAUAAGCUUACACAACACAGUAUUUGUAAAAAAUAAAUUUUAUUAUUGAGAUUCUUUGAUUCUGUAAGUUGAAACCUUAAAACCAUAACGAAAGAAAGUAAUAAUAAAUAUAAGUGAUAGUGAAAGUAAGGGUGGGGUUAAAAACACAAAAGUGCCGAUGUUGACUUCUGUCUUUGACAUCUGUUUCCCGCUUUAUCUGGCGUCGUUGUUCUCAGUUUACCAUAAUAAGUUGUGCCUAUGGUAGAUCAGUGACAUUGCGUAUUGUAGUUGACAACUUCAAAUUAGUUUAAAAUUACGUGUGCAACUAAUUUCCCUCGACAAUCUUGAAUCUUGCAGGAUAACACAACUGACGCACCCGCAUUAAAAAUAAUAACGUGGAAAAAUUUCGAAGCCGCAAGCAUCUAUGAAUCUUCCAUCUCCAAGUCUAUGAAAAAGAUUAUCAGGGAACGGAUGAUUGCUUUCAAUGCGUGGCAAGUAAACGGGAAAUCCAAUUGGAGCGCGUCGCAGAGAUUAUGUCAGGCACGACAGCUCAGGUAUUGAAGAGUAUUGUGCAUUGCAACAGACAGACAAGACCAACAAUAUGAUUGGGCAGAUGUUACCAAAUCGAAUAGGAUUUUACCAUUUAAUCCCAUAUAACAGCAACCUCUCGAAUGAUACGUAAUGGGAUGAUGACGCAAUGGAUUCACUCAACGUCUAGUGGUGCAGCCUGGUCCUCUACUAAUGCUGAUCCUCUUCGUUUGGCCUUUUGUUUCACGAAUACGCCGUCUUUACUGUCUGUCUACAUACUGGCCCGCAAAUGGGUCAUUUCAGACAUUUUGAAGCAAGUUUGGAACCUUUUUCUUCUUGUUCCACCACCCAGCCUUGCAACCUGCAUCACCUGAAAGACUUUUACGGGUUCUUUAUAACAAUGAAUCAAGGCGAUAAGUAGAAAUUCUGCACGAUGUGUUUGUUUAAUAAUUAUCUCCAUUUUUAUUUGUCUUCGAUUGCCUCCUUUAGCAAUCGAUUUAUUGCUUUAUUCAAACAUCCAUGAAAUAGAUGAAUACGUCGUCGUAUACCUGAGAUGUUUCGUCGCUGUCGUGGACAUUUUGGUAAGUUUUUCUCGAUGUCUUUCGUUUUAGUUUUGUUGCAGGGUUUAAUUAUAAAGUAAAAAUGCAAUUUAAAAAAAAGAUUGUGUCUGGAAUAAAAUCCGUAUGUAAGUAUUGAUACGCUUGAAAGAAAAUCAAUUUGGACCUGAGUCGUGAUCGGCGUUUUUCCACGUAGUUCUCUGCUGAAGUUGAACGAUUUACUAAAGGAUAAAUCUCCUACAAAGUUGAGCCACCAUCGUGGAAAUGAGGACAACUCGCACGUUCUCCCGACAGCUGUAUGUAAGCUUUCCGGAAGAAGACCGUUGCAAUAAAAAAUGUGUAUGAAUGGAAGCGUUCAGCCCUAUCGACAAUGAAAAAGUACGUUUACGGGUUCGUCAAUCAAUUUCAUUGGAUAGUCACAUGGAAAAAGCGUCCUUACAAGUUUAGUGUUUCAUAGACUGGAUGGAAGUAAAAUUGCUUGAUGGAUCGAUAGUGAAACUCUAAUUCGGGCGCGGAUUAGAAGAAACCGUUGAAUAAGAUGACUACUGUGUCAUUGGAGUCCUGUCAGGCUCAGUUUUCGCGGCAAGUGCGACCUUUCGUCCGCGUUCGUUUGUUCCUUUAAGAAAUUCUUUCUCGUACGAUGCGUAACCAUAAUAUGACUUUUUUUUUCUUUUUGAAAUAGGAGCAACUUCUUUAACAGGGACAUCCGAAGCUUCAACAGCUUCGGCAAUAACCCUUACCUCCUCCACGCAAGAUGCAAUAAACCAAGAACUUGUCAUAGGCGAUAACCAAGGAUUCUUCUUGCAACAAGGCAUCGAUUAGCGAAGAAAUUAUUUCAUCUGGAAUUGAUUCAGGCACCGUAUUCGCUGAUGAUUUUCGCUUGGCUAAUGGUUGAGGCCGUUUUUGUUUUUUUUGUGUUUGAAGAUCCGCUAGAGCUUUGUGGUGAAACGUGUGCUGCUCGAAAAGGUUUACGUACCAAAUCCUCGAGUGUUAAUCUAGUUCCUGGCAAGCUGUGUGAUGCUGGUCGAAGAUGAAGGACCUUUAUAACGUUGUCCCAUUGUGGCGCAGCCUGAUGAUUUGUUGCGGGAACUGGCUUGUAUAAGUGGCGGAAAUUCCAGCAGUCUUUAGUUUUUAUCCUAUUUUUGGCAUGCUGAAGGAGUUUAUUCUUUCAGAUAGGUCAGCAUGAUAAGCUGUUACGAGUUGCAACUAGAUCUCCACCCUUAACACAAAUGGUGAUUUCAGAUGAAUUCCAAUGAAUGCCACAGCAAGCUGUCAUAUAAAUGAGGAGAAUACCUCAAAACCGCCAGCGUAAGUUAGACAGAGCGACAUUCACGCUACACAACCACAAAGCUAUAAGAAAACAGAGUUUGAACAAGACAAUAGCCGCAGUUUUCAUGAUUAUUCACCUUCUCUCAUUGUGGUGUUCUUUUUAUCAAUCUGCGAGGAAAACGAUGCCACCUACAAGGUACUGCAUGUCAUGAUGUCCUCGCGACAAUGAAUUGAGGCAAUCCCUCCACCUUGACUACACUUUUUAAAGGAGUUACAUUUAACUUAAAUGUAGUGGAGAACAGGUUGUAAGUUAUCAACAAAAAAUCUAUCAAACGAAAUUUUUAAAAGAUCUAACUGACAGAACAUUAACAUAUUUUCUUCUUCUAUAUCCAAUAAAUCUCAAUCAAUAAUAAGCCGAAAGCUUAAAAAAAGUAAAACAUUCCAAUUUUUCAGCUGAAUUGCUUCAACCUCACUCUGCUGGAAAUGGAAUUCGAAUCCUACUACCAAUGAUACUGAGUUAGAAUAGGAUUUUGACUGAGGCUGGGGGCCAAAACAAUGGAUGAUAAUUGGAAGCGCGAUUGGAAAUAUCCAUGAUAUAUUAACGUUCUCUCAUGUUACGGUAUUUUAUUAAAGACAAAUUGAAGUGCAUAUCUGGGCUCCCUUCUUUUCUGUGGCCCCGUUUCCCCUUGACUCGUAAUAAGCCCGUAGGGGGUCAUGCCCCUACUGUACGGUAUAUAUAAAAACAACAUAUAUCGA